ACCAGUCAAGGACCCAGGACACUCUGUGCACACAGUGAAGUGCUGACUAACUAUAAACUUAGUCUGGAGUAAAAUGCUUUGAUGAUAUAACCACUCUAAGGUAGGAAGAUAGAAGCAAAGGCAAUCGGCCAGAAAAUGCCCUGCAGGAGAACCGGCGUGGAUGAACUCAGCCUGAGGCGGCAGGCUGGCAGCUUGGCCUCAUAUGCAACUCGGCAGUAAAGUUGUUUGCCGCAGUGCAGCUUUGCUGUUUGGACCCCGAGUGCACUGUUUGGGGAUCUGUAGCCGGGGAAUGGGAGUGGAAUCCAGGGCUGUGGAUCCCGCGUGAGGAACUUGGGUACCACAGGUCAGCAGCCUCUGCAAUGCAGGCACAGGGCACUCAAAGCAAGCAUGAUCGUGACGCUGCCAA